rnacentral:rRNA from 1 species
CAACUUUCAGCAACGGAUCUCUUGGCUCUCGCAUCGAUGAAGAACGCAGCGAAAUGCGAUAAGUAAUGUAGAAUUGCAGAAUUCAGUGAAUCAUCGAAUCUUUGAACGCACCUUGCGCCCUUUGGCUAUUCCGAAGGGCAUGCCUGUUUGAGUAUCAUGA